rnacentral:tRNA from 1 species
GAGCCUAUAGCUCAGUCGGUAGAGCAUCUGACUUUUAAUCAGAGGGUCGCUGGUUCGAAUCCAGCUGGGCUCA